AGGUGGUCAAGGAGAAUAUCCUGAGGCGCUCGAGUGAUCCGUGGCUAAGGAACUAGGCAAAUUAACCGCGUAACUUCGGAAUAAGCGGUACCCAUUUCGGUGGGUUUCAAUGAAAAGGCUCAGGCGACUGUUUAACAAAAGCACAUGGCUUUGCGAAAUCGAAAGAUGACGUAUAAGGCCUGACACCUGCCCGGUGCUGGAAGGUUAAGAGGAGAGGUCAGCCGCAAGGCGAAGCUUUGAAUCGAAGCCCCAGUAAACGGCGGCCGUAACAAUAACGGUCCUAAGGUAGCGAAAUUCCUUGUCGGGUAAGUUCCGACCUGCACGAAUGGUGUAACGAUCUGAGCACUGUCUCGGCCACGAGCUCGGUGAAAUUGUAGUUUCGGUGAAGAUGCCGGACACCCGCAACGGGACGGAAAGACCCCGUGCACCUUUACUAUAGCUUCACAUUGACAUCGGCUGCCCGAUGUGUAGGAUAGGUGGGAGACUUUGAAGUUGCGUCGCUAGGCGUGAUGGAGUCAACGUUGAAAUACCACCCUUCUGUCAUCUGAUGUCUAAUCCUUGCGAAACAAGGAAACAGUGUGUGGUGGGUAGUUUGACUGGGGUGGUCGCCUCCAAAAGAGUAUCGGAGGCUUCCAAAGGUACCCUCGGCACGCUUGGUAACCGUGCGACGAGUAUAUUGGCAUAAGGGUGCUUGACUGUGAGACCGACAAGUCGAACAGGUAGGAAACUAGGGCAAAGUGAUCCGGUGGUUCCGUAUGGAAGGGCCAUCGCUCAUAGGAUAAAAGGUACGCCGGGGAUAACAGGCUGAUCAUUCCCAAGAGCUCAUAUCGACGGAAUGGUUUGGCACCUCGAUGUCGGUUCGUCACAUCCUGGGGCUGGAGAAGGUCCCAAGGGUUCGGCUGUUCGCCGAUUAAAGUGGCACGUGAACUGGGUUCAGAACGUCGUGAGACAGUUCGGUCCCUAUCUGUUGCGGGCGUUAGAAGUUUGAGGGGAGCUACCAUUAGUACGAGAGGACCGUGGUGGACGAACCGCUAGUGUACCAGUUGUCUCGCCAGAGGCACCGCUGGGUAGCUAUGUUCGGACGGGAUAAGCGCUGAAAGCAUCUAAGCACGAAGCCCACCUCAAGAUGAGACUUCUUCUAAGGGUCGUUGAAGAUUACAACGUUGAUAGGCUACAGGUGUAAAGUCAGCAAUGGCAAAGCCGAGUAGUACUAAUUACCC
rnacentral:rRNA from 1 species